GCCUGGGUGGCUCAGUCGGUUAAGCAUCCGACUUCAACUCAGGGCACGAUCUCACAGUUCGUGGGUUCAAGCCCCACAUCGGGCU
rnacentral:tRNA from 1 species